rnacentral:rRNA from 1 species
AACGGCCGUACCAUGCUGAAUAUACCGGUUCUCGUUAGAUCACCGAAGUUAAGCAUCAUUGGGCGCGGUCAGUACUUGGGUGGGUGACCACCUGGGAACACCGCGGGCCGU